rnacentral:lncRNA from 1 species
ACUUCAUCACUCUUAUUUUUUUCAACUUCCACACUUUCUUUAUUUUCUACUUCACCAUUUUUUUCAUUCUUUUCAACUUCUUCCUCACUCCACUCCCCAACUUCAACAUCAAUGUUAUCCUCUAUUUUUUUCUCCUCAUCUUUUUUCUCAUCCUCUCUUUUUUCACUCUCACUAAUCAACUCCCUUCCACUUCUCGUCGUUAUCGCUUUACAAUGCUCUUUUGAAUUUGUUUG